UUUUUUUUUAUAAGCAAACAAUAUAUUAUAAAGGAGUACAAAGGGGUACUCAAUCCCUCACAAUAUAAAGCAAAUUAUAGUAUGCUUUGAAGACAUACAAUAGGAUCUAAACACCAUUCAGAAAAAGAGAAAGAGAACUUACGACCAAAACGACCCUUAAACCAAAACCAAGAAAAAGUUUUAAUAUCAUCUACAAGUUUGGAAGCAUCCGGUAAGUCUCCAUUAAAAACAACAUUAUUUCUAAGCUUCCAUAAGCACCAUGUAGUANNNNAUAAUUAGUCCAUGAAAUUCCCUAUACUACUCUUAUUGAAAAUGCUCUUAGAAUUUUUGUAUUUUAUUUUUUAUUGUUACAUAUUACACCUAAUUAGACUCAUGCACCGCAUGGGUCAAAGUUCUAGUUAAUUGAACAUUUGAACACAGGAAAAAUAUUUGCAACCUAAUCUUCUAUGAAUUGAAACCACAACAUACAUAUCACCACAACAUAGUCCAUGAUGACGCCUCUUUCCAUAUCCAGGCAUGAAUUAAGUCUUUUUUUUUUUUAUAAACAAACAAUAUAUUAUAAAGGAGUACAAAGGGAUACUCAAUCCCUCACAAUAUAAAGCAAAUUAUAGUAUGCUUUGAAGACAUACAAUAGGAUCUAAAUAAUAUUCAGAAAAAGAGAAAGAGGACUUACGACCAAAACGACCCUUAAACCAAAACCAAGAAAAAGUUUUAAUAUCAUCUACAAGUUUGGAAGCAUCCGGUAAGUCUCCAUUAAAAACAUUAUUUCUAAGCUUCCAUAAGCACCAUGUAGUAGCCAACCAAAUCAAAUGACGAAUCUGAUUACCUUUUCUUGAUUUAACCAAAGAACCAAAGGAUAAAAAGUGAUUCCAACCUUCCAAACCUGCGGUAAACUCUGUCCUAACCAUCUAUAUAUAGUUUCCCACACACCUUUAACAAAAGAGCAAUUGAAGAAUAGAUGGGAACAGUCUUCCAUUUGCAUAUAACAAAAAAUACAAGAAAUAUCAUGCGGANNNNNNNNCAAAAAUAUUAACUUUAGAUGGAACAUCGUUUUUCCAAAGCUUUUGGAUAGCAUCCAAAACAUUUGACUCCAAAACAACCGUGUUAGAAUAUUGAAGCAACAAACUAUAACACGAUUUAACCGUAAAAAGGCCAACCGAAUCC
rnacentral:lncRNA from 1 species